GACGAACGCUGGCGGCGUGCUUAACACAUGCAAGUCGAGCGGAAAGGCCACUUCGGUGGUACUCGAGCGGCGAACGGGUGAGUAACACGUGAGUAAUCUGCCCCUGGCUUUGGGAUAGCCACCGGAAACGGUGAUUAAUACCGGAUACGACCACUUCUCGCAUGGGAUGGUGGUGGAAAGUUUUUUCGGCCAGGGAUGUGCUCGCGGCCUAUCAGCUUGAUGGUGAGGGAAUGGCUCACCAUGGCUUCGACGGGUAGCCGGCCUGAGAGGGUGACCGGUCACACUGGGACUGAGACACGGCCCAGACUCCUACGGGAGGCAGCAGUGGGGAAUAUUGGAAAAUGGGCGGAAGCCUGAUCCAGCAACGCCGCGUGAGGGAUGACGGCCUUCGGGUUGUAAACCUCUUUCAGCAGGGGCGAAGCGCAAGUGACGGUACCUGCAGAAGAAGCACCGGCCAACUACGUGCCAGCAGCCGCCGUAA
rnacentral:rRNA from 1 species